UGUUGUGCGAAGGUAGCAUAAUCAUUAGUCUUUUAAUUGAAGGCUUGUAUGAAUGGUUGGACAAAAAGUAAUCUGUCUCAAUUGUAAUAGUUGAACUUAACUUUUAAGUGAAAAGGCUUAAAUACUUUAAGGGGACGAUAAGACCCUAUAAAACUUGACAAUAAAUUAGUUAAAUUAUAAAUUGUUAGUAUAACUUGAUCUUAAUUAAUGUUUGUUGCGUUGGGGCGACGGGAAUAUAAUUAGUAACUGUUCUUAAAUACUUAUUAACAAGUAUAAUUGAAAAAUAAUUGAUCCUUUAUUAAAGAUUAAAAGAUUAAGUUACUUUAGGGAUAACAGCGUAAUCUUCUUUGAGAGUCCUCAUCGACAAGAAGGUUUGCGACCUCGAUGUUGAAUUAAGGACA
rnacentral:rRNA from 1 species